rnacentral:pre_miRNA from 10 species
ACUCUGGGACGCUGCCCGCUCCCCUGGGCAGGAUAUCAUCGUAUACUGUAAGUCGGCUAUGAGACACUACAGUAUAGAUGAUGUACUCCCCGGGGCUGCACCCGCCGACCGGCCCGGC